UGGGGAAUAUUGGACAAUGGGCGAAAGCCUGAUCCAGCCAUGCCGCGUGUGUGAAGAAGGUCUUCGGAUUGUAAAGCACUUUAAGUUGGGAGGAAGGGCAUUUACCUAAUACGUAAGUGUUUUGACGUUACCGACAGAAUAAGCACCGGCUAACUCUGUGCCAGCAGCCGCGGUAAAU
rnacentral:rRNA from 1 species